UGUCUGGAGAGGGUGGAGAGGAAGAGAGUCAGACACCUAUAGCACCGCGUCAUAGCCCAUGAAGCUUCUCCAGAGCAGGUGGAAGCAGGGAACGGAACCCAGGAGCCCUUCCAUCUGGAGCAGAUGACUUCAGAGACCCCAGGGCAGCUGGUCCGCAAGGCCAGGCAGUAGAGAAGGAGCCAGCAGGGGAGAGGUUCCUGCACAGCAUUAGAUGUGUCUGACUUCUAAGGAAAAUGAGACUCCAGACACAUUGAUGGGGCAUCAACAAGACUGUGGAUAGGAAAUGAGUGAGCUGCCAACUAUUGAGCUGCUGCGCCAGAGACCACAAGACUCCACUUCUGUCUCCAUCAUCGCAGAGCCCUGCCAUCUGGAGCAGACCUCUGAGGAGACCCCAGGUCAGUGUGUCCUCAGGCCCAGACACUGAGUAGGAACCAGCAGGGAGCACUGGUGAACCCCAGCCAUUCUGCAAGUGUCCCCUCUGGGCCCAUGACUGCCAUCCUGAUGUGGCUCCUGACAUUGAAAGCCACCUGUAGGGGUGAGGGGGUGGUACAGGCAGGGACCAAGACCCACCCACAGUCCAACUUGGGGACACUUCCUGUUGUGAAAUCAGACCCAGCUCACU